rnacentral:rRNA from 1 species
UACGGGGGGGGCAAGCGUUGUUCGGAAUUACUGGGCGUAAAGGGCUCGUAGGUGGCCCCAUAAGUCAGACGUGAAAUCCCUCGGCUCAACCGAGGAACUGCGUCUGAGACUGUGGGGCUUGAAUCCGGGAGAGGGAUGCAGAAUUCCAGGUGUAGCGGUGAAAUGCGUAGAUAUCUGGAGGAAUACCGGUGGCGAAGGCGGCAUCCUGGACCGACAUUGACGCUGAGGAGCGAAAGCUAGGGGAGCAAACGGG